GGCGGCUGGCUUGACUGCUACUUCACGAGUGGAUCCUGGCUUGACCGCAGUGAUUAUACACAUGGCCAGCAGGAACGAAAUCCUCAAUGGUUCCAAUUUCCAGUCCAAUCCCCAAUUUUCAACCCCAAUGACAGACAACACACGCCGGAAUGGGUGUUUAGCUUAGGAAGGCAAUUGUGCUCCUUCCGUGUUCUCCGCCGUGCUGACUUCCUCCGCCACGCCGCCAAGCCAUCCACCUGCUCACGCCACCGCCUACCCCACGAUCCCCGUCUCGACGACCUGCCAAUACGCCCCAGAAUGGCGGAUCUGUUUACCAAUAAGAACGAUCGUACUUGGCCUCAACAAUCCAAAAGGGGAACGCGCGAGCCAAGGCAGGCCAGAACGCCCACCCCGUGGAGAGGACACGGCCCACGCUGCGGGACACAGGGCAGUUCGCCGGCACCACCGAGGCGCCCCGGCCAGUCCGAAAAAGAGAGACACGGGGACCAACCACCCACCCCACUAGCCAACCACCACCCGAACCCACCGCCCAGCACAGCUCACCUCGACAUCCCCCCCCAACACCAGGAUAUCAAGGCGGCCCCAUCAACCAACAGGGCCUGAUGCGGACGACAGCGCGAAACCGGUGAGCCGGUGAUUCUCGCGCGCUGGAAAUGAGGAGGGGCGGGGACUCCUGGGGUGGGGAGAUGAAGGUGGGGACCAAAGGGGCCCUCCACAAGAUGGGAAAGGGAAUCCCCACCCCUCGCAGCCAGCUGACCAGAGGCGACCAGGCCCAAGGAGUCAGGCCAUCAGCCUUUGUCUGGGGAGAUGAUAGCGAAUAAGAUAGAAGGCUGUAAUGAACUUUGGUCUGACCUAUGAACUUUUACCCUGACAAGAUCGCCAUCUGAGGGCUGCCAGCGAAGUGUCUGCCUGUGUGGUAGGACACACACACACACACACACACAUGCACACAAAGAAGCACAUUCUAUACUGCGCUAUAUAUAGAGCUAAAGAGUUCACAUAAGAUGCCAGGCCUCGACGAUUUUUCCGGCAGUCUUGAUUGUCCAUUGCAGUCGGAGUUUGCCCUUUUUUGUGGCAGCACCAAAGCAGACUGUGAUGGAUGAACACAGGACUGAUUCGAUGACUCCUGUGUAGAACUGCCUCAACAGGUCCUGCGGCAGGCCGUGCUUCCUCAGGAAGCCGCAGGACAUACAUCCUGUGCUGGGCCUUUUUGAGGAUGGAAUUGGUGUUGGUCCCCCACUUCAUGUCCCGAGUGACUGUAAUUCCCAGGAACUUGAAGAUUUCAACGGUUGACACAGGCCACUUGGACAGCGUGAGGGACAGCUGUCGCGAAGAAUCCUUCCUGAAGUCCACGAUCAUCUCUACGGUCUUGAGCGUGUUCAGCUCCAGGUUGUGUCAGUUGCACCAAAGCUCCAGCUGCUCCACUUCCUGUUGAUACGCAGACUCUUCACCGUCUUUGAUGAGGCCGACGACUGCGGGGUCGUCCGCAAACUUCAAGAGUUUGACGGCGUUGAGGUGCAGUCGUUCGUGUAGAGAAAGAAGAGCAGCAGACGGAGGACACUUCCUUGGGACGCCUCGAUGUUGGUGGUGUGUGUGUAUGAGGUGGUGUCCCCAAGCCUCACCUGCUGUGUCCUGCCCGUCAGAAAGCUGUAAAUCCACUGGCAGAUGGCAGGUGAGAUGCUGAGCUGGAGAAGCUUGGAGGAGAGGAGUUCGGGUGGUGGUGUUGAACGCAGCGCUGAAGUCCAAAUCAAAUCAGUCAACAUCGAGAAUCAUGCUACUACUGUACCAUAGUGUGCAUAACAGAAAUAUCCGAAAAACAUAAAAUACUCUAUCCAGCAGGGGUUACAAUUACAUACAAUUAAUGGAAUAACUUUCAUAGUCACUCCCUGACCAAACUGUUCGUCGAGAUGAUGUAUCUUUUAACUAUCCAUCCAUCCAUUUUCUGAGCCGCUUCUCCACACUAGGGUCGCGGGCGUGCUGGAGCCUAUCCCAGCUAUCAUCGGGCAGGAGGUGGGGUACACCCUGAACUGGUUGUCAGCCAAUCGCAGGGCACAUAGAAACAAACAACCAUUCGCACUCACAUUCACACCUACGGGCAAUUUAGAGUGAACUACCAUGC